rnacentral:tRNA from 1 species
UGGGGAGUCGUCUAAUGGUAGGACGCAAGCCUCUGGAGCUUGUUGUGAGGGUUCAAAUCCUUCCUCCCCAGCCA